UCCCUGACUCAGCAUUUUAAAAUCAUUUAUUUAUUUAUUUUUAAGACAGACAAGAAGAACACAGGAGGAGCAGGGAGAGAAGGAGAAAGAAAAUCUCAAGCAGACUCCAUACUGUCAGUGCAGAUCCCCAUGUGGGGUUUGAUCGCAUGAACCGUGAGAUCACGACCUGAGCCAAGAUCAAAAGUCAGACACUCAACCGACUGAGUCACCCAGCCCCAAGCCACCCUGAAAUCGCCGAGUGUGUCGCCUGGCUCCACUCCUCUUCUGGGCCCCCUCCGCCAACCCCCAAGUGACCUGAUGGUGGUCCGAAGUCCCCUCUGAGUAACCCUGCCCCCAGCACUUCCCACCUGAGCUUUCACACCGGAUGGCCUCACAGCACUUGUAGGAGGGAGGCGCACUGUACUAGAGCAAGAUUCAGGAUGCCUCAAGCUGACACUUGACUCCGGUGGCUUCCACGGUCAUUCUCGGAGGGCAGCAGUCACAUCCCCUUCAUCUCUGGGAUCCCUUGAACACCAGCAGAGGGUCUGAUACAAAAUAGGAGCCGAUGAAUAUCCAAUCAGCAGAGUUUAUUGAGGAUCUACUACACACCAGGAAUAUUCUUUCAUGGGUAUGGUUUCUACCAGUUACAACCUCCCGGGAUGGGCACGAGUGCUUUCGCUUUACAGAUGAGGACAGUGAGACCCAGAGAGGUUAGACGACUUGCCCAAGAUCACACAGCCAGUGCAGAACCAGCUUUAUUCCAGGUCUGCCUGGGCUCUAAAGCUCCUCUUCUUUCCAGGCCUCCUGGUUCCCCAACAGGGUGUGUGGGCCGGGAGGGAGGUGGCUGCAGUUCAGGGGU